UACAGAGGUCUCAAGCGUUGUUCGGAUUCAUUGGGCGUAAAGGGUGCGUAGGCGGCGCCGUAAGUCGGGUGUGAAAUUUCGGAGCUUAACUCCGAAACUGCAUUCGAUACUGCCGUGCUUGAGGACUGGAGAGGAGACUGGAAUUUACGGUGUAGCAGUGAAAUGCGUAGAGAUCGUAAGGAAGACCAGUGGCGAAGGCGGGUCUCUGGACAGUUCCUGACACUGAGGCACGAAGGCCAGGGGAGCAAACGGG
rnacentral:rRNA from 1 species